rnacentral:rRNA from 1 species
UGCAGUCGAGGGGUAUUUAUCUUCGGAUAGAGAGACCGGCGCACGGGUGCGUAACGCGUAUGCAAUCUACCUUUUACAGAGGGAUAGCCCAGAGAAAUUUGGAUUAAUACCUCAUAGUAUAUAGACCUGGCAUCGAGAUUAUAUUAAAGUCACAACGGUAAAAGAUGAGCAUGCGUCCCAUUAGCUAGUUGGUAAGGUCACGGCUUACCAAGGCUACGAUGGGUAGGGGUCCUGAGAGGGAGAUCCCCCACACUGGUACUGAGACACGGACCAGACUCCUACGGGAGGCAGCAGUGAGGAAUAUUGGACAAUGGGCGCAAGCCUGAUCCAGCCAUGCCGCGUGCAGGACGACGGUCCUAUGGAUUGUAAACUGCUUUUAUACGAGAAGAAACACUACUUCGUGAAGUAGCUUGACGGUAUCGUAAGAAUAAGGAUCGGCUAACUCCGUGCCAGCAGCCGCGGUAAUACGGAGGAUCCAAGCGUUAUCCGGAAUCAUUGGGUUUAAAGGGUCCGUAGGCGGUUUAAUAAGUCAGUGGUGAAAGCCCAUCGCUCAACGGUGGAACGGCCAUUGAUACUGUUAGACUUGAAUUAUUAGGAAGUAACUAGAAUAUGUAGUGUAGCGGUGAAAUGCUUAGAGAUUACAUGGAAUACCAAUUGCGAAGGCAUGUUACUACUAAUUGAUUGACGCUGAUGGACGAAAGCGUGGGUUGCGAACAGGAUUAGAUACGCUGGUAGUCCACGCCGUAAACGAUGGAUACAGCUGUUGGGAGCAAUCUCAGUGGCUAAGCGAAAGUGAUAAGUAUCCCACCUGGGGAGUACGUUCGCAAGAAUGAAACUCAAAGGAAUUGACGGGGGCCCGCACAAGCGGUGGAGCAUGUGGUUUAAUUCGAUGAUACGCGAGGAACCUUACCAAGGCUUAAAUGUAGAUUGACCGGUUUGGAAACAGAUCUUUCGCAAGACAAUUUACAAGGUGCUGCAUGGUUGUCGUCAGCUCGUGCCGUGAGGUGUCAGGUUAAGUCCUAUAACGAGCGCAACCCCUGUUGUUAGUUGCCAGCGAGUCAUGUCGGGAACUCUAACAAGACUGCCAGUGCAAA